CCUUGUUGUGGGUAAACAUGAGUGACAACCACAAAGCCACUGGCAGGGGGACCAGAGUUGGCCAUGGUUGCUGUUGGAAGCUAUACAAACCUGAAAUGAACAGCAGUCUUACCUCUACAAAUGGGAACAUCACAGAUAACGCAAUGGGAGCAUCACAGAUGACGUAAUCCAAACCUUGACCCCUCUCCUUUCCUCCAUAAACAUUUGUGGUUCACCCGAACAGCCUUCUUCUCGUGUUGACUCAGAUGUUUUAAGAAGCAUACAGAGUUGUGGUAUAAAAACACACAGUGGCUUUGAGAUGAAACUUUAUUAAAAAUCAGUUGACAGUUUUAAUUUAUUGUGUGCAAUAAGCGACAUUGGUAAUUGAAAGAUGGAGAGAUAGAGAGAGAACAGGAGAGAGAGUGAAGAAAACAGACAGACAGGACAUUUAAAUAUAUUGAGCAGUUAGAUGUUAUAAGUUACAGAAAAAAAAAAAAAAACAA